GGCAGGUGAGGAAAGUCCGGGCUUCAUAGGGCAGGAUGCCGGAUAACAUCCGGUGGAGGUGACUCCAAGGCCAGUGCAACAGAAAUAUACCGCCCCAUAUACAGUUUUUGGACUGUAUAGGAAAACAGCUAUGCUGUCUUCUUUGGGGUAAGGGUGGAAGGGCAGUGUAAGAGACUACCGCCUGCACGGUAACGGGCAGGGCACAUGUAAACCCCAUCCGAAGCAAGACCAAACAGAAAGCGCUUAAGCUUGCCCGGCGAGCUUUCAGGUAGGUCGCUUGAGGCUGCUGGUAACAGCAGUCCUAGAUAGAUGAUCAUUCACGACAUAACCCGGCUUAUCGUCCUGCUUGA
rnacentral:RNase_P_RNA from 1 species